CCUACGGGAUGCAGCAGUGAGGAAUAUUGGUCAAUGGGCGGGAGCCUGAACCCGCCAAGCCGCGUGAGGGAAGAAGGUACAGCGUAUCGUAAACCUCUUUUGUCAGGAAACAAAGGCGGGGACUAGUCCCCGGAUGAGGGUACCUGAAGAAAAAGCAUCGGCUAACUCCGGGCCAGCAGCCGCGGUAAUACGGAGGAAGUUAGCGUUAUCCGGAUUUAUUGGGUUUAAAGGGUGCGCAGGCGGCCUGUUAAGUCAGCGGGAAAAGCCCGGGGCUCAACCCCGGCGAGCCGUUGAAACUGGCGGGCUGGAGUUGGAGAGAAGUACGCGGAAUGCGCGGUGUAGCGGUGAAAUGCUUAGAUAUCGCGCAGAACCCCGAUUGCGAAGGCAGCGGACCGGCUCCACACUGACGCUGAGGCACGAAAGCGUGGGUAUCGAACAGGAUUAGAUACCCUUGUAGUC
rnacentral:rRNA from 1 species